GACGAACGCUGGCGGCGUGCUUAACACAUGCAAGUCGAACGGAAAGGCCCUGCUUUUGUGGGGUGCUCGAGUGGCGAACGGGUGAGUAACACGUGAGUAACCUGCCCUUGACUUUGGGAUAACUUCAGGAAACUGGGGCUAAUACCGGAUAGGAGCUCCUGCUGCAUGGUGGGGGUUGGAAAGUUUCGGCGGUUGGGGAUGGACUCGCGGCUUAUCAGCUUGUUGGUGGGGUAGUGGCUUACCAAGGCUUUGACGGGUAGCCGGCCUGAGAGGGUGACCGGCCACAUUGGGACUGAGGUACGGCCCAGACUGCUACGGGAGGCAGCAGUGGGGAAUAUUGCACAAUGGGCGGAAGCCUGAUGCGGCAACGCCGCGUGCGGGAUGACGGCCUUCGGGUUGUAAACCGCUUUCGCCUGUGACGAAGCGUGAGUGACGGUAAUGGGUAAAGAAGCACCGGCUAACUACGUG
rnacentral:rRNA from 1 species